UUUUUUUUCAGGAGCUCUGAUUCCAAAAGAAAAAAUGGAUAAAGUUGAAGGAAGGGAUUUUUUCCCCCCUUCUUGUGCCUGGAAGAGUACUCACUUGUGGUUUUCUUUUCUUGUAGGGGAGCUGGUGCCAGAAAGAAGUUGGAAAUGUCACCCCCUCUGCCUUGUAUCAUCGGGACAAACAUCAUCCUGGAGAGAAGUGGAUUGGAGGCCCCUCAGAGCCCGGCACGGUGUGAACCGCUGGCUUUUGCUCAUGACCGGGAAUUACAACGCUCUCAUUUUCGGCACAGGUGAGGUCGCCUUAGCGCAUCUGCGAGGAGCGUGCUCUCGAAGGGUUGCAGCCACAGGAAAUAAUGACCACCUGCAGCUGACACAGGAUUUCCCGCGAUCCCUUUGCCUCCCUGCUGUCCGAGGCCUCUGCGCUGGGAAUGCGACGGACCGGAGCUCCGCUGAGGCUUUUCGGGUUUUUUGGAUGAUUUUUAAAUUAUAUCUUCCCAUGAGAGGCAUGGGUUUUAUUAAAUUUUUAAACAGUACUUAGCUGUCUAAGUAACACAUGCUUAUAAAAAUAUUUAAACUGUCAGGGCACCUGGGUGGCUCAGUUGGUUAAGCAUCUGACUUCAGCUCCGGUCAUGAUCUUGCAGUUCAUGGGUUCGAGCCCUGUGAGGCUUUUAUGCUUUAGUCACUCAAGACGAUGAUAAGUAGUUCACUGUGUUUCAUAUCUUUAUAUAGAGCCUAUUUGUUAAACUACUUUUUGUUUUACCAACUUGUCUAGAAAGCUGGU
rnacentral:lncRNA from 1 species